CAGCCGCCACGGUAAUACGAAGGGGGCUAGCGUUGUUCGGAAUCACUGGGCGUAAAGGGUGCGUAGGCGGAUUCUUAAGUCAGGGGUGAAAUCCCGAGGCUCAACCUCGGAACUGCCUUUGAUACUGGGGAUCUUGAGUCCGGAAGAGGUGAGUGGAACUGCGAGUGUAGAGGUGAAAUUCGUAGAUAUUCGCAAGAACACCGGUGGCGAAGGCGGCUCACUGGUCCGGAACUGACGCUGAGGCACGACAGCGUGGGGAGCAAACAGGAUUAGAUACCCGUGUAGUCCCUGUCUCUUAUAA
rnacentral:rRNA from 1 species